AGCAACCUGUUGGGGUUCCCUUCCACAAUGUAGAGCCUUUGUUGUUUUGCUCUUUGUAAUAAAUCUCGCUGUUGCUGAGUUUUUGAGUCUGCCCUGCCUUUAUGAGUUGUAACACUCACCGUGAAGGUCUGUAGCUUCACCCCUGAGGCCAGUGAAACCACGAACCCACCAGGAGGAAUGAACAACUCCAGACGCGCCUGCCUUAAGAGCUGUACCACUCACCUUGAAGGUCUGCAGUUUCUCUUCUGAAGCCAGCGAGGCUACGAACCCACCAGAAGUAAGAAACUCUGAACGUGUAUGAACAUCAGAAGGAACAAACUCUGGACACAUCACCUUGAAGAACUGUAACACUCACCGCGAGGGUCCACGUCCUCAUUUUUGAGGUCAGUGAGACCAAGAACCCACCAAUUCCGGGCACACUGCCGUUUGUAUGUUGGUAAGAUCUCUUAGUUAUAACUAUGUCCUGAAAUUUUGGAAUGUAUUUUUCUACUAAGGUAAGCCAGGAAAGUUGGAGGAACAUUUGAAUGAGGUGGAGCCGUGUCACCUGGCAUAUGUAAAAGUAAUUUUAAUUUAGAAAGAGUGCAAUUAAUUUCUCUAAUUGUGUAUCCAGGCAUCUGAUUCUGGGUAUGGUACAGUGACUCAUGAAAUAUUUUCAUAACGUUCUUAAAUAAUAAAAUUGACAACCUUCAAUUCUAAAAUGGUCUAAAUAGGUGAAUUUUUUUUUUCUUUACUUCGAAAGAGGCUACCAUGUGGCUGUGACAGUGUAGAAACUGUUUGCUUAACUUCGGGCUUUCUCUCUUUGCCUUCCAGAAUCCCAGUGUGCUCAUCCCAUCUGUGACUCCUGGUCACCGACACAUAAAGUGUAGCACACUGCCAAGCAGCACCUAACUUUCAGAUUUCAUGGUGAACUUGUCCGUGUGGGAAAAGGAGUCCUCGCAACUACUGAGGAUGCUAUUGCUUACUUUGGAGGCAAGAAAUUAUUCUAAACCUAAUUAAUCCACCGCAUCAUAAAAACUUACACCGUUGCUGUCUGAAUUUGUCUAGAAGAGACUGCUGCACAAGUAUUUUCUAAGAAUCGCUUGAGAACCUGCUAAGAUACUUCCAGGCCCAGAUAAUUUAGGUUGUAAU
rnacentral:lncRNA from 1 species